AUUUUAUCUGGUGGACGAGGCCGAAUUGCCGGGGAAAGGAAGUGACAGUGUCAUGAGCAUGGCCCACCACUACUUUCAGCACUAUGGUGUCGGUGAAAAACAUGCUGAGGUUUAUUUCGAUAAUGCUUUCCGCCAAAACAAGAACAAUGCUGUGCCUUGGUAUGCCAUGUGACGUGGGAUGACAGGGCUGCAUGAGAGUGUAAAGCUAAACACUAUGUUGGCUGGGCACACCAAAUGUGUUCAUGCAAUCACUUCGGCAAUUGGAAGGUCAAGUGGCGAUGCUGUAAUGCCGAGAAUCUUCAAGAAAUUGCCCACACUGAUUUCACCUCUUCAAAGUCCAGCCACAACAUCCCACAGUUGGUUUAUGACCCUCAGCAGCCAGUCACAGUUCACAGUUGGAAAUCAUUCCUAGAUACAUAUGUCAAAACUCUAAAGAGUAUUACCAAAUACCACCAUUUCUAUGUAUAAAAACAUAAACCAGGAGUUGUAGUAUGCAAAGAGUUUGUAGAUUCCUCAGAAAUUGAAGUUAUUCUUUUGAGGAUGAGUCUAGAAUGUGGUGUUUUGCCUGAAAUAAAGCACGCACCGUGCCUAGAUGCUGCACGUCAAUGGUACCUUCAAGAUUCUAUUGGUCCAUUCUUUAGAUCUGAGUCAUCAAGAUCUGCAGUAUGCCCUAAACCAACUCUGUGUAAAGUCAAAGUUUACUCAUUUGUUGUUGAAAUGUUGAUUGUAAAUCAAAUGUUUGUGGCAAAUAUGAAAGAAAUGAGUAAAAAAUGGAAUUAUCACAUGUAACCAUAGCAACAGACUGUUGUUUUAUGUAGUUCUUUUAUGUCAUUUUGUACAUAUAAUGAGCAAUGUGUACUCGUUGUUUCUAUGAAUUAUGUCUCCCCCUCUCUGGGGGAGACAUAUUGUUUUUGCCCUGUCCGUCAGUCCGGUAGUCCGUCAGUCCGUCCGUACGUCACACUUCGUUUCCGAUCGAUAACUGGAAAACCGCAUGACCUAGGAUCACCAAACUUGGUAGGGAGGUUGGUCGUGAGGUGUAGAGGAUCCCUAUUGUUUUUGGGGUCACUAGGUCAAAGGUCAAGGUCGCGGCGACCCCCAAUAUAAAAAACAUUUCUGCUCAAAAUCUUGAGAACGGUUUGACCUAGGUUCACCAAACUUGGUAGGGAGGUUGGUCAUGAGGUGUAGACGAUCCCUAUUGUUUUUGGGGUCACUAGGUCAAAGGUCAAGGUCGCGGCGACCCCCAAUGUAAAAAACAUUUCCGCUCAAUAUCUUGAGAAUGGUUUGACCUAGGUUCACCAAACUUGGUAGGGAGGUUGAUCAUGAGGUUUAGAAAACUCCUAUAUUUUGGGGGGUCACAAGGUCAAAGGUCAACGUCGCUGUGACCUCUAAUGUAAAAAAAUAUUUCCGUGCAAUAUCAGGAGAAUGCUUUGAUCUAGGUUCACCAAACUUUGAAGUGAGGUUGGUCAUGAUGUCUAGUUGGUAUGCUGGUAGGUCAUGACUAGUAGAUGACUCCUAUUGAUUUUGUGAUCUGUAGGUCAUAGGUCAAGGUCGCAGUAAACUUGAGGUGAAAACACAGUUUCCGCUCAAUAACUAAAGAUCCUUUGGGUCCAGGAACUUCAUACUUGGUAUACUAUUUGUUCAUGGCUAGUAAUUGACCCCUAUUGAUUUUGAGAUCAAAAGGUCAAAGGUGAAGGUCGCCAUGACCUUGAGGUGAAGAAACGGUUACUAAAGUAACUAAAGAAGGCUUGCACCCAGGAACUUCAUACUUGGUAUGCAAGUUGGUCAUGUAGAUGACCCCUAUUGAUUUUGUGAUCAGUUGGUCAAAGGUCAAGGUCACGAUGACUUUGAGCUGAAAAAUGGUUUCUGAUCAAAUAAUUGAAUAACAAUUGCGCCCAUGCACUUCAUACAAUACAAACUUCAUUUACAUUUUCCAAGAUUAAUCAACAACACUUUCUUCUCUUCACUAUUUGAUACGGGUGAAUAAACCAAACUUCACUGUUGGUUCGUCUUCCGUCCAGAAUUACAAAUUUUAUGUCCAUCAUUUAUUUUUUCUCAGCUACGACCACACAAUAGGGGAGACAAGCGCUUUUUCAAAAAAGCAAUCUCUAGUUAGUUUAUGUGUUAGCUAUAACAGACAGUUAAGUUUCGGCAUGGUAACUGCAUUUAAAAUAAAAACAUUUUUAGUGGACAUUGUUUUCAAACUGGCUUACCAAUGUGUAACAGAAUGAUCCAUAUCUUUUGAUUUCUUUGUACAAAAAUGACUUGAAACCUUAGUUUUUAUACCUUAGAUACUUGGUAUCAUCUACAUGCCAA